UACAGAGGUCUCAAGCGUUGUUCGGAUUUAUUGGGCGUAAAGGGUGCGUAGGCGGCGGUGUAAGUUGGAUGUGAAAGCCUUGGGCUUAACCCAGGAAAUGCAUUCAAUACUGCAUCGCUCGAGUGCUGGAGAGGAGACUGGAAUUUACGGUGUAGCAGUGAAAUGCGUAGAUAUUAGGAGGAACACCGGUGGCGAAGGCGCCACUCUGGGCCGAAACUGACGCUGAGGAGCGAAAGCAUGGGUAGCAAACAGG
rnacentral:rRNA from 1 species